UAAACAUGUGUGCAUUCUAUAUGGAUGCAGUCAGAUAUAUAAUCCACUCCUGUCCAUAUCGCGAUUUGAUCAGAAAGUCAAAAACGACUAGCCAGAAUGUGUUGUCGGAGACUAGGCGGAAAUUAUGAUACAUUUAUUUUCGUUUACAUUCGUCCAUCUGUCCAAAAAAUUGUGUAAAACUUUAGUACAGGAAACAAUUGAUAAUACAAUGAUGUAAUGACUAAGCCGUGACUCAUACAUUCGACGUAGUUUGUCCCUUGUGUUGUUAUUUGUGUUUCUUAUGGAAUGUUGCUGAGGCUAACCAUCAUGUGGUUCGUGUGUGUGGUAGCAAGAAUCCUUGAAACGACAAACUCGCCACCCUUAGAAGAGGUAUCCACGGUGACAAAGGAGAAAUGUGAUUUGGAGACGAAUAAUUUUUGCGGUGUCUUUAACAACACGAAUCCACAACAUCAGUUUUAUAAUCAGGGAUGAUUUAAUAAAAUGUAUUUUUUUUAA